GAUUACACUUGUGUGUUGUGUAAUGCAGUGCAGGUCCUGGAAACAAUAGAUCAUCUCUUCUUUCACUGCCCCUUUGCACGCCUAUGAUGGUCUUACAUCUUUCCAACUUGGACACCAAAUAUGUUAGGCAUACAUGAUGAAGUCACUUACCAAAUGGACUUGUUGAAUGUUCCUUUCUCAUUGGAGAACAUCAUCUUGGUAUCUUGGGCUAUUUGGACUAAAAGAAAUGACUAAAUAUCCAAGCAUAUUCCUCCAAGUCUAUAUAACUGCAGGAGAAAGUUCAAAGAUGAGCUCAAAUAGACACUCUACAUGGCAAAGAGGAAGGAAUACAGUGGCUUUAAAGAUUGGGCUAGAAGCUUUAAAUAA
rnacentral:rRNA from 1 species